rnacentral:rRNA from 1 species
UACGUAGGAGGCGAGCGUUGUCCGGAUUUAUUGGGCGUAAAGAGCGCGCAGGCGGUUAGGCAAGAUGGGUGUGAAAUCCUCUGGCUCAACUAGGGGGGGUCAUCCAAGACUGUCUAACUUGAGGGCAGCAGAGGAAAGUGGAAUUCCCGGUGUAGUGGUGAAAUGCGUAGAUAUCGGGAGGAACACCAGUGGCGAAGGCGGCUUUCUGGGCUGUCGCUGACGCUGAGGCGCGAAAGCGUGGGGAG